UCGGCAGCUCGCGUUGUUCGUCCAUGCGGCGCGGAGCGCGUGUACGUGCAGUCCUCGAAGCUGAACCAUGGUAGCCGGGAGGCUCACAAGAAGGGAAGCGACAAAGGGAGCUCCACCCCAUGUGGAGAACAGGAACGUUGCUGAAGCCAUAAAAAACUGGGCGGUGCAGUCCGUCGAGGCAUCUUUUGAAGCUCACUUCAUUUUGUUUUAUAGCUCGCCGUGGACUAAAAAAUGAGCCAAGUUUCCUCGCGCGACGCCGUUCAGUUCGGCAAGCCGUGGCAUGCAGUGCGCUGGCAUGGAUUGCAGCGCUGGCAUCUUCAUCUUCCCCAGUUCGUCUCAAAAAAGGGGUGUAGUGCAGGAGAUGCCAAAACGACAUCUUCCUGUUCAGUUUUUUGAUUUUGGGCAGAUGUUCAAAUGAAGUUCAGUUUUUGCAGCCCACAUUCAGCGGUGUGAGCAGCUCCCAAGUGCAGUUUGAAGUCCGCAGUGCACUCCGGUGGGGGCAAAGCAUUGUGCAGGCCGAGAAGUGGACGAGACGAGACGAGCCUGGUGGUUCUUGCAGUUUCUAUUGGGUGCGAUGUGAUUCACACCGUGUGGGUCGCGGCAUGCGGUUCCGAGUGGAUGUUGGUGAAGUCGUGUUUGUGUGUGUGUGUUUCAGUCAUGUGUAUAUAAUUUCUUUUUCUCUGUUAUUAUGUGGAUGUUUGCUUGUGCAAACUUAUAUUAAAUGUGUCUUUUCUUUA